GAUGAACGCUGGCGGCGUGCCUAAUACAUGCAAGUCGAGCGAACAGACGAGGAGCUUGCUCCUCUGACGUUAGCGGCGGACGGGUGAGUAACACGUGGAUAACCUACCUAUAAGACUGGGAUAACUUCGGGAAACCGGAGCUAAUACCGGAUAAUAUAUUGAACCGCAUGGUUCAAUAGUGAAAGACGGUUUUGCUGUCACUUAUAGAUGGAUCUGCGCCGCAUUAGCUAGUUGGUAAGGUAACGGCUUACCAAGGCAACGAUGCGUAGCCGACCUGAGAGGGUGAUCGGCCACACUGGAACUGGGACACGGUCCAGACUCCUACGGGAGGCAGCAGUAGGGAAUCUUCCGCAAUGGGCGAAAGCUUGACGGAGCAACGCCGCGUGAGUGAUGAAGGUCUUCGGAUCGUAAAACUCUGUUAUUAGGGAAGAACAAAUGUGUAAGUAACUAUGCACGUCUUGACGGUACCUAAUCAGAAAGCCACGGCUAACUACGUG
rnacentral:rRNA from 1 species